AAUUAAUUGCCACCCCCUCCUUUAUCAUGUUGAGAAGUGGAAGAGUCCUUCUUAAUGAAGGAUCUUAUCCAACUCAUCGAUUUCCUUCAGAUUCCUAUUUAUUUCAUGCUGAUUUUUUUAAGAUGGAUUUAUGAGGCAUAGAAGAGGAGUCUUUCUAUGUGAAGAAUCUUCUAUUCCAAUUAAAGACGUGGAGAAUUUAUUCUCUGCAUGAUAAGUUGGAGCACCAAGAGUUGGCGCCCC
rnacentral:lncRNA from 1 species